rnacentral:rRNA from 1 species
UACGUAGGGUGCGAGCGUUAAUCGGAAUUACUGGGCGUAAAGCGUGCGCAGGCGGUUAUAUAAGACAGAUGUGAAAUCCCCGGGCUCAACCUGGGAACUGCAUUUGUGACUGUAUAGCUAGAGUACGGUAGAGGGGGAUGGAAUUCCGCGUGUAGCAGUGAAAUGCGUAGAUAUGCGGAGGAACACCGAUGGCGAAGGCAAUCCCCUGGACCUGUACUGACGCUCAUGCACGAAAGCGUGGGGAGCAAACAGG